ensembl:lncRNA novel transcript
AUUGUUGAUUUCUUCUCUUAAGCCGGAGCUCGGCUUCAGGAGUACUUUUCAAAAUAUCAUGUAUUUUGCUAACUCUAUAUAACUCCAUGUGUCAUUUCAUCCAGAAAACUUGUUUCUAAUGCUUUUUUCUCUGGACUCUAAGCUGGUUGAUGCCACCAGGCCUUGGGAAAAAGCCUGCCUUCUGAUAGGAUUGCUAUUGAGUAGCAAAAAUUCUUGGAUUCUGAUAACAUCUUUCAUGCAGAAACUCAAAGCAUCUCCCAAAUUAUAAGCCCAUUCUUUUACACUGUUCUACACUCUCACACUCUAGGAACAACUCAUUUCAAUCUUGGGACAUUGACCAGAAUUCAGGGAAACUAGCAUGAUCCUUCCAGUCUGACGUUUCAUUCCAUCUACUGUCCAAAGCUGUGUCUACAAGGCAUCACCUAUGAGACAAUAAAACAAACCCUCUGAAAUCAGGAAAUUUGCCAGAAGAUGGCGAGCUGGGAAGAAAUAAAACCAGGAUUUGAGCCAGGUGAGUUUGCCUCCGGAGUCCAAGACUUUCCCACUGGCUCUUCCCUCUUCUUUCUUCUGUGUCAUAUUGGCUCUCUUCUGCUGCUGCCUAAGCAAAGGAUUAGCAUUUAACAGGGAUUGGGAGGGAUGCCAAGAUGAGAACACCACCAAGAGGAGAGAACAGAGCUGCUUGCCCAAGGACUCUCCCAUAUGCCAAGUCAGCUCAAUGAGCUGGGAGGCAGAGUGUGCAAUGGAAAAGCAACAGGUCUUCAACACUAAGCAACAUACAAAUUCCAUCUCCACUAUUACUGAGUGGUUUCUACUGCCAGGAUCGGUGUGGUUGCAUGUGACAUCAGACUCCUAGGAGACCACAUCAUCUAUGGAUUACAGCCUCUCCACUAAAUCACUACCUUUCUCCAAAGUGUAUGUUCCUGACUCCUGGUCUACACUCCAAGUCUAUCUUAGAGCUGAACCCUUUUCUGCAACCAAGGCUGGUUAUCAGAUGGCCCUGACCCUCUUCUCCGAGUCCUGAUGGGCCUGAGAAGUCUUCAUGGUAGCAUCUGACCACCAAUCUACUUCGUUUUCAUUUUUGGUCAAGAUUAGAACUGUGCUUUCCAUGUCUUGAACUUCCUGAUUUAGACUGCAGAUUAUUCUUAGUUUCCUCCAACCUUGCUCCUAUAGCAGUAGCUUACUCCAGUCUAGCAAGAAACUACCAGCCUGUGACAUGGCUGUGGCUCCAAGAUCAUUUCACAGGUAGCCCUAGGGCACUUGCUAGCUUCACUGGGCAUUAAAAGGGGCUUGAACUCA